rnacentral:lncRNA from 1 species
GAUGGCUCUAUGGAGGUGAUGAAGGUGGUUACUAUUGAAACUUUCCAUAUUCUUCUGAUGUUUUGUUGCUUAGAAUAUAAAUGGCUGAGAGGGGGCUGUGGAGCGCCCACUCUGCUUGUGUGUGAGGUUCUUCCUGCCAUCCUGCCGUCAUUUCUUUCUUAUGUUUUGCAGACAAGACUGACCAUGAGAAAUCCUGGGAGCUCAGGAAGGAAGGAGCCGCCCAGAAGCAGGAACAGGGAGUUGGUGGGGAAGACCAGAAAUCAGGUCUGUGAAGGUUCCAGAGAGCCUUGGCAGGGCACCCUGUGAGGACCAGGACAUGCGGGUACAGUGGCUGCUCUUUUGGCUCCUCCUGCUGAAGUUUUCAGCCAUCAAUCCACCCAUGUGAGUAGACGCUGGACCCGUGGGGUUUCUUCCUUGUUAUUGGGCGUGUCACAUGGCAGAGUACACAGUGCAGGCCUGUAAUAUCAGUGCUUUGGGGGAUUAAGGUGGGCAGAGCACCUGAGUCCAGGAGUUUAAGACUAGCCUGGACAUCAGAGACAAACCCCAUCGCUACAAAAGAUUCCAAAAAAGAUUAAGUGGAUGCCCACUCUUGUCUCAAACAGAAUAAACCGAAACAAAGUGAAAUAUCAUUUGAGUUUUGUGUCAUCUGGUUUGAUGACCUUUUAGGAACUUCUGAGUCAUCCGUGUCUUCUGCUUUUGGGGGCUGCCUCUAGGGAGUCUGUGUCCAGUCAGUGUGGUGGGAGUUGAGAAGCCCAUCAGAUGGAGAGGAAAGGGCUGCACCUGCUGGGAGGUUUGCAAUAUGGGAGUCACUAGGAGUGACAUGACCAGAAUGUGAAAGAGGGCUGUAUUGUCCUUUGUUUUGUAAAGUGUGUAUGGUGCAGAUCAUUGAUUGACCCAAAGGAGAAAGGGUCUUAAAGUCCUUAUGUUAUCCAAAUAUAAAGAAGUGACAGGCCAGGCGUGGUGGCUUAUGCCUGUAAUUGGGAGGCUGAGGCCGGCAGAUCAGUUGAGUUCAGGAGUUCCAGACCAGCCUGACCAACAUGGUGAAACCCUGUCUCUACUAAAAAUAUACAAAAUAGCCAGGCAUGGUGGCAGGCACCUGUAAUACCAGCUACUCAGGAGGCUGAGGCAAAAGAAUGGCUUGAACCCACGUGGCAGAGGUUGCAAUGAGCCAAGAUUGCACCACUGCACUCUAGCCUGGGCAACUGAGCAGGACACUCUCAAAAAGAAAGAAAGAAAAGAAUAUUUUUGUAAUUUUUUUUUUGAAACAAAAUUCUCCUGUUGUCUCCCAGGCU